rnacentral:lncRNA from 1 species
GGUCCUUUAGAAUUCUAGAUUCUCUUGGUUCCUUUCUCCAGAAUCCUUCCCUUCUCGCUCCACUCAUGCUCUGGGCCAGGCCCACCACGUCUCCUGGCAGCUGACUAUCUCAUGCCACCUGCCUUUGUUCUCUAUUCCCUUUGCCAAAACCAUAUUUUCUGGUGAAUCCCUCUUCUACUUCAAGGUUCAGUUCAAGUGCCACCAUAUAAGUGAAGCUGUCCUCAGUCGACCCUAGGUGACUCUGUGGCCCCAUGGAACUUUUUCUCAUCACCAUCGUAGCAGUCAUGACUCUGUUUUGACCUCCACUUCUCCACUGGAGAGUGUGUUCCGUGGAAUGAACUGGCUUGUAGUGUGACCUGUGAACCUCCAGAGCUUGGCUCUGUGUUGCUCAUUGAGUACUUGUUCUUGCAGUGGGCCCUUGCCAAGAGAGGCCCCUGUUCUGGGAUGUGAGCCAGAGAAGGUCCGAGACUCAUAAUUUCAUGUGUCAUACUCGUCCUCCACCCAGCUCCCCCUGGCCAGAUCAC